rnacentral:rRNA from 1 species
AUGGCGGCGGUGCCGCUAAACGCGAGCAUGGGGCUGCUCAAUCUGGGCGGGUGCGGGGUUUUGCUCCCCUCCCUGCAGCCUAAUUCGAGCGCCGGUCACUGCUUUUUGGUCCCGAGGAGGGACGUCUCCGCGUCGCCGUUGAGCUGGGGUUUGGUCAGACGAGGCAGGUUUCUUGAUGCCGGGUUCCGGGCCGCGGGUGCCCUGGCUAGCGGCGAGGCCGGCGCCGGUUCGUCAGAGUUGCGGCACAUCGAGAAGGAGCUCACUUUUAGCCCCACAUUCACCGACUAUGUGAAGAUGAUGGAGUCGGUGAAGUUGGACAGGAGCAAGAGUUUGCAGGGAGGCGAUUCGGAUGGCCGGAGUUCCAGGAGGAGGUUCACGGGCGAUGGCGAUGCAUCAGCUGGUCGACGACAGGAUAGAGAGUCAGUUGAUCCAAGGAAGAAGUCAUUUGAGAGGAAUAGAGGGGCUCAAAGGGACAGAGGGGGUGACCAAGGCAGGGGUGAGAGGCUAGCGACGAAUGACAGCGCAGAAGAAUUUACUGGAUUGGUGGGAAAAGGAAUGGUGGGUGAUGUUAAAAACAGCAAUGAUGGUCAGAGGAAAGUUGAAGAAUAUGUACAGAGAAGAAUAGUUCGAGGCGAACGAAGCAGAAUUGGGGACAGUACUGAUACUGACGACCGCAAGCAGUUUCCAUCAGCAUCAUAUGUGAAGACUAGAGAUAAUAAAGGUGGUGUGGUUGUUCAUGAAUCAGCAGGGAACACAAAUGCCCAGUCAAAUGCACGGAAGGAUUUACAAGGACGGGCAACUUCUGUUGUAAGCCGUACUUCUGUGACUCGGGAUAGCAGCGUUAUAUUGAGGAACACCAGGUCUACCAAUGCAAGAAGUAAUAUACAGGAGCAUGACUUCAAAUAUCCUAGAGAGGGAAAAGUUUCCAGUAGCGAGGUCAAUGCUGACAGUAAAUUUCAAAGAUACCAGCAAAGAACAGAGAAUUCAAUAAGAAAUCUUGUAGGUAGUUUUAGAGAUAAUAAUGUGGACUAUAGCAAACCUAUUGUAAGCAAAAGAUACGGCCAUACACAAACAGUGUCCGAGAACUAUGGUCAUCGGAGUGAUAGUCUGGAGCGUGGAAAACCUGAAACAAUGCGAAUGCACAGAGGAGAAAAUGUUCAACAGGGGAAGUUUGUUAGAAGAGAUUCAAAAGCUGUUAUUGAUGAUAGGGCUGCUUUCAAGACUUUUGAGGCAUUCACUGAUGUCAGGAACAGGCCACGGGCUCUUCAAAUGGAAAUAGAAGAAAGGAUUCAGAAAUUAGCUAGUCGGCUCAAUGCUACAGAUGUAAAUAUUCCAGAGUGGAAAUUCUCCAAGAUGAUUCAUGAUGCACAGAUCAAAUUCACUGAUCACUCUAUCCUAAGGAUUGUUCAAAUAUUGGGUCGAUAUGGAAACUGGAAACGUGUUCUGCAAGUUGUUGAAUGGCUUCAAUCACGUGAAAGAUUCAAGUCCUACAAGAGCAGGUAUAUUUAUACAACAGUCCUUGAUGUUCUUGGGAAGGCAAAGAGACCUUUCGAGGCAUUGAAUGUAUUUUACACCAUGCUGGACCAAUUAUCUUCUUAUCCUGACAUUGCAGCUUAUCAUUGUAUUGCUGUGACUCUCGGGCAAGCUGGUCUUGUGAAAGAACUAUUUGAUGUGAUUGAUUGCAUGCGUUCCCCUCCUAGGAAGAAGUUUAUGGUGGGUCCUGUUCAGAAUUGGGAUCCUCGGUUGGAACCAGACCUCAUCGUAUACAAUGCGGUUUUGAAUGCUUGCGUUCAACAAAAGCAGUGGGAAGGGACAUUCUGGGUACUGCAACAGUUGAAAGAGAAGAAUAUUCGCCCAACUAAUACAACAUAUGGUCUUGUAAUGGAGGUAAUGCUUGUUUGUGGCAAGUAUAACUUGGUGUAUGAGGUCUUCGACAGGGUGAAGCAAAAAUCAAUACCUGGUGCACUGAACUAUAAAGUUCUCGUAAAUGCACUCUGGAGAGAAGGAAAGAUCGAUGAAGCAGUCAUGGCCGUGAAGGAUAUGGAAAAUCGUGGAAUUGUUGGUUCGGCUAGUCUCUAUUAUGACCUUGCUCGGUGCCUUUGCAGUGGAGGGCGGUGCAAAGAAGCACUUCUCCAGGUUGAGAAGAUAUGCAAGGUUGCGAACAAACCGCUGGUUGUUACCUACACAGGACUUAUUCAAACUUGCAUAGAUAGUGGAAGCAUAGAAAAUGCUAAAUACAUAUUUAAAGAAAUGUGCAACUACUGCUCACCUAAUAAUGUGACUUGCAACAUUAUGCUAAAGUCAUACAUAGAUCAUGGAAUGUUUGAAGACGCAAAAGAUCUGCUGGAGAAUAUUCUAAAUGGCAGGAUAAGGAGUAAAGCGGAUUUGGGUGAACAAGCAAUUGCAGACAAGUUUACUUUCAAUACUUUCUUGGAUGCUUGUGCUGAAGCAAAAAAGUGGAAUGACUUCGAGUACGCAUUUCGCAAAAUGUUAUCUAGCGGCUACCAUUUUGACGAACGAAGGCACCUACGUAUGGUACUUGAUGCCUAUAGGAGCGGGAAGGAGCAGCUGCUGGAAGACGUAUGGGACUACCUGUGUCACAGUGGUCGGGUUCCACCGGCUGCCAUGAUAAUGGAAAGAUUCUGCCUAAAACUGAGACAAGGCCAUACGACGGCAGCACUCUCCUGCAUCAGCAGCUUUGAGGAGAGCAAGAUAGGCAGCGUUUCCUCCAAGUCGUGGUCGAAUCUUCUGAACCGGAACGCGGACCUCCUCGACGAGGAGAGCGUCGCCAAGCUUGUCCAUGAACUCGAUGACUUCUCAAGGCCAGGGAUUUCCUGCCAUUCCUUGUACGAAAAUGUUCUGAGCAGCUGUACAGAAUUCCUUCGUGGUUCUGGUGGAAAGGCGCCUUCUGAUGGACGGAUGCCUUUCUGUAAUUCUUGA